CAGGUCUUUUUGAAGACCUUGUCAUCUCUCAAUCAAUUGAAUUUCAUAACUGGAAAAAAAAUGAACACCCUGGAAGACUAGGAAUGAACAUCUGAACGCAGUUUGGGAAAUGGUGCAGAACGAUGUCUGGAUUAUUCUACCCUAGAGAACCUUACAUUAAAAGGAAAAAAAAAGCAUAUGUUGCAUUUCUUAACUCUGUCUACUGAAAAAUCCAGAAGCACUGACAACACAACAACCAAAAACACCAACUGUGACCAGAUUAUGGCUCCUAAAGACCAUUUCCAGUUUUCAGUAAAGAAGAUUAUCCUUGCUAAUCUGUGUGAGUUUGAAGAGUAGAACUGAGGUUCUCUGAGGAAGAAGAAAUUCCUCCUGUGGACUGCAGCUUCAGCUUCUGCCUGAGUUUCCAGCCUGCCUUCCUGACAGCCUACCAAAUAGAUUUUUGGACUUAAUACCCAGCCCGAACUAUCAUGUAAGCCAGUUCCUUGCAAUAAAUUUAUUUACGUGUAUCCUACUGCUGCUGUUUCUCUGGUGGAACCCUCAGAUCUUAAAAUAAGGAAAUACGGAUCCUGCAAACUUCCUGUUUUAAUUUAAUAGUUGUAGUAGUUUUUUGUAGAUAUGAUUUUUUUUUACC